rnacentral:lncRNA from 12 species
AUUUUCCUCAUGUGCCUGUACCAGCAGUUGUCCUGGCACAGUGCUAAGUUUCCUGUGCUGUUACUGCCUAAGCACACAGUGCUGUCCUUAUGCAAUGUAGAUGGAUACCUGCUCAACCCCUGUGAUGCUGUGAAGCUCCUGGGAUCUGAGGAAACAGGCUCAUCUCAGUCAGAAAUCAAGAGGAACCUGCAGGUUCAGUGAUGUGAUUUCAGAAACCUAAGUGGGAUCAGGGUUGUGUUGUACAACACUAUGAGAAGC